CGAAGGUCCCAAGCGUUAUCCGGAUUUAUUGGGUUUAAAGGGUGCGUAGGCGGGUUGUUAAGUCAGUGGUGAAAGCUCCAUGCCUAACAUGGAAAUUGCCAUUGAUACUGACGAUCUUGAGUACAUUUGAAGUGGGCGGAAUGUGUCAUGUAGCGGUGAAAUGCUUAGAUAUGACACAGAACACCGAUUGCGUAGGCAGCUCACUAAACUGUAACUGACGCUGAGGCACGAAAGCAUGGGGAGCAAACAGGAUUAGAUACCCUGGUAGUCCAUGCCCUAAACGAUGUUCACUCGAUGUGUGCGAUACACUGUACACGUCCAAGCGAAAGCGAUAAGUGAACCACCUGGGGAGUACGGUCGCAAGACUG
rnacentral:rRNA from 1 species